rnacentral:rRNA from 1 species
GACGUAGGGGACGAGCGUUGUCCGGAUUUACUGGGCGUAAAGAGCGUGUAGGCGGCCACGCAGGUCCGUUGUGAAAACUGGAGGCUCAACUUCCAGCCGUCGACGGAAACCGUGUGGCUAGAGUCCGGAAGAGGAGAGUGGAAUUCCUGGUGUAGCGGUGAAAUGCGCAGAUAUCAGGAAGAACACCAAUGGCGAAGGCAGCUCUCUGGGACGGUACUGACGCUGAGACGCGAAAGCGUGGGGAGCGAACAGG